rnacentral:rRNA from 1 species
AGAGUUUGAUCAUGGCUCAGAGUGAACGCUGGCGGUAGGCCUAACACAUGCAAGUCGAACGGCAGCACAGUAAGAGCUUGCUCUUACGGGUGGCGAGUGGCGGACGGGUGAGGAAUACAUCGGAAUCUACUUUUUCGUGGGGGAUAACGUAGGGAAACUUACGCUAAUACCGCAUACGACCUACGGGUGAAAGCAGGGGAUCUUCGGACCUUGCGCGAUUAAAUGAGCCGAUGUCGGAUUAGCUAGUUGGCGGGGUAAAGGCCCACCAAGGCGACGAUCCGUAGCUGGUCUGAGAGGAUGAUCAGCCACUCUGGAACUGAGACACGGUCCAGACUCCUACGGGAGGCAGCAGUGAGGAAUAUUGGACAAUGGGCGCAAGCCUGAUCCAGCCAUACCGCGUGGGUGAAGAAGGCCUUCGGGUUGUAAAGCCCUUUUGUUGGGAAAGAAAUCCAGCUGGCUAAUACCCGGUUGGGAUGACGGUACCCAAAGAAUAAGCACCGGCUAACUUCGUGCCAGCAGCCGCGGUAAUACGAAGGGUGCAAGCGUUACUCGGAAUUACUGGGCGUAAAGCGUGCGUAGGUGGUCGUUUAAGUCCGUUGUGAAAGCCCUGGGCUCAACCUGGGAACUGCAGUGGAUACUGGGCGACUAGAGUGUGGUAGAGGGUAGCGGAAUUCCUGGUGUAGCAGUGAAAUGCGUAGAGAUCAGGAGGAACAUCCAUGGCGAAGGCAGCUACCUGGACCAACACUGACACUGAGGCACGAAAGCGUGGGGAGCAAACCGGAUUAGAUACCCUGGUAGUCC